rnacentral:lncRNA from 1 species
UUCAGCAUUUCCUUUUUCUCAAAUCCAGACCCUAUUGCAUAGUCUCAAAGUGGCCAAACGCCUUCUUCCAAAGAGCAGUGGCUUGCCACCUGCUGGUUUGUAUUAACAUAAACUAUGCAGCCAGUUUCUUGUUCUAAAGCCUCUCUGUAGGGCUCAGCUUAAGAAAGGAGGAAUUAAUUAACUGAAUUAGCUGACUUUCUGCUCCAAGUACUGUUAAAGGGAACUAAUCUUGAAGGGGUCUGUAAACAGUUCAUUUACACUAUUUUUUUUUUUUUUUAGCCGUACUGCCCAGCUUGUACGAUUUUACUUCUCUGAUUAGAGACUAAACCCAGACCCUCAGCAGUGAAAGCAGAGUCUAAAUCACUGGACAACCAGGAAAUUUCUAAUUUUUGUCAUCUUAAAGGAUUCAGUGAGCUUUUAAAAUCCAAAGGCCUUAGUUUAGUACAGUUUGCCCUGAGUGAGAUGUUAAACAUUUGACACCAAUGCACAGCUCCUUCUCCCCUGCUUAUUACAAAUAUUCAACCAACCACACGGAUGGUUCUUUUAGGGACAUUAAAUUACUAAAUGCCAAGUUUUAUUUUCACAUUUCUGUUUUCAUUUUGCUAAUUAUCUCUUCACAGAAGCUUUUUGUGACUAGCCUUUAUCAACCAGUGGGCAAUGAAGCAGAUUUUAAAAAGAACUUUUGUUUCUACAAAUCACUGGGCUGGAGUCCACUCAGCGGCCUUGGCAAAGGACUGGCGGUGGGAGAGACAGUGACUGGGGAGCCUGGGAUUAACAAACCCUGGUAAACAGAGCAGUGCUCAUGGAACUCAGAUGUUAUCUGUUCAAGUCCCAGCUGGGUGGGAUAAUAUAGUCAGAUGAUUUACUGUUCAAACUGGAGGAGGAAACAGACAGAGCUGGACCCCAUCUUAGGCCUGUUCAUGCUGAUNNNNNNNNNNNNNNNNACCUCUCCAAUGGACUCUGAACUCUGUGCUUAGUGUCUAUGGAAACUACAUCAGAGGAUAAGACCCCCUGUGGGCAGGGGAAUCUUGAAGAUCACAUCCAGGCUACUCAUCUCCUAAGAGAAAACAAACUCACCCCUGCCUCUGGACAGGUUAUAAAUUUUUUUUGUAUCUAUUGGAAUGUAACCACAGGCUUAUUGAUU